ACUUAGUGGCAGACGGGUGAGUAAUGUAUAGGAAUCUACCUAGUAGUACGGAAUAAUUGUUGGAAACGGCAACUAAUACCGUAUACGCCCUACGGGGGAAAGAUUUAUCGCUAUUAGAUGAGCCUAUAUUAGAUUAGCUAGUUGGUAAGGUAAUGGCUUACCAAGGCAAUGAUCUAUAGCUGAUCUGAGAGGAUGAUCAGCCACACUGGAACUGAGAUACGGUCCAGACUCCUACGGGAGGCAGCAGUGGGGAAUAUUGGACAAUGGGCGAAAGCCUGAUCCAGCCAUGCCGCAUGAGUGAAGAAGGCCUUUGGGUUGUAAAGCUCUUUCGGCGAGGAAGAUAAUGACGGUACUCACAGAAGAAGUCCUGGCUAACUCCGUGCCAGCAGCCGCGGUAAUACGGAGAGGGCUAGCGUUAUUCGGAAUUAUUGGGCGUAAAGAGCGCGUAGGCUGGUUAGUAAGUUAAAAGUGAAAUCCCAAAGCUCAAUUUUGGAAUUGCUUUUAAAACUGCUAACCUAGAGAUUGAAAGAGGAUAGAGGAAUUCCUAGUGUAGAGGUGAAAUUCGUAAAUAUUAGGAGGAACACCAGUGGCGAAGGCGUCUAUCUGGUUCAAAUCUGACGCUGAGGCGCGAAGGCGUGGGGAGCAAACAGGAUUAGAUACCCUGGUAGUCCACGCUGUAAACGAUGAAUGUUAAAUAUGGGAAGUUUACUUUCUGUAUUACAGCUAACGCGUUAAACAUUCCGCCUGGGGACUACGGUCGCAAGAUUAAAACUCAAAGGAAUUGACGGGGACCCGCACAAGCGGUGGAGCA
rnacentral:rRNA from 1 species